AUUGAACGCUGGCGGCAGGCUUAACACAUGCAAGUCGAGCGGGGUGAUGGUGCUUGCACUAUCACUUAGCGGCGGACGGGUGAGUAAUGCUUAGGAAUCUGCCUAUUAGUGGGGACAACAUCUCGAAAGGGAUGCUAAUACCGCAUACGUCCUACGGGAGAAAGCAGGGGAUCACUUGUGACCUUGCGCUAAUAGAUGAGCCUAAGUCAGAUUAGCUAGUUGGUGGGGUAAAGGCCUACCAAGGCGACGAUCUGUAGCGGGUCUGAGAGGAUGAUCCGCCACACUGGGACUGAGACACGGCCCAGACUCCUACGGGAGGCAGCAGUGGGGAAUAUUGGACAAUGGGGGGAACCCUGAUCCAGCCAUGCCGCGUGUGUGAAGAAGGCCUUAUGGUUGUAAAGCACUUUAAGCGAGGAGGAGGCUCUUUUGGUUAAUACCCAAGAUGAGUGGACGUUACUCGCAGAAUAAGCACCGGCUAACUCUGUGCCAGCAGCCGCCGCAG
rnacentral:rRNA from 1 species